AUGGCCUGGACUGUGCUCCUCCUCACCCUCCUCACUCAGGCCGUAGGUUCCUGGGCCCAGUCUGCUCUGACUCAGCCUUCCUCAGUGUCUGGGGCUCUGGGACAGUCAGUCACCAUCUCCUGUGCUGGGACCAGCAAUGACAUUGGGCGUUAUAAUGCUGUCUCUUGGCUCCAGCAGCUCCCUGGCAAGACACCCACACUCCUGAUUUAUGGUGUCAGUUCCCGGCCCUCAGGGAUCCCUGAUCGCUUCUCUGGCUCCAAGUCAGGCAACACGGCCACCUUGACCAUCUCUGGUCUCAAGCCUGAGGAUGAGGCUGAGUAUUACUGUGGCUCAAUCAGGACUGGUUAUACUUACCACAGUGGUGGACGCUGGAUCAUGUCCCUUGUCCAGCCACGUGUCAGUGUGGUGCUGCUGCCGGUCACUUCUGCCAACAGGAUUUUUCCAGGUCCAGACUCUCAUUUUGGAGCCUCCCGCAAUGUCCAGACUCUGGGACACUCAGUGACCAUCUCCCUUGUUGGAAGUGACAUCGGGUAUCACACCUGUGGUCCCAGCCUGGACUCAGUUGUCCAGCACGACAUCUCCUUCUUCACUCGGGUCUGCGUUGCUGUCAGUGUGGCCUUUUUGGUGCUUACUCUUCUGCACAUUGCUGCUGAGAGAAGAGAUGCUGAGGAAGGGGAAAAUGUUGCUGAGACCUGA